ACAUUAGACUUAAGCAGCUGGUCUAGAUCAGCUGGUGCAGCUUAUGGUGCGUUAGAGAGCUUUCGAACGCGAACUUUCGCUCUUAAUCUUUCUAACGCGAACUUUUGCUCUUGAACUGUCAAGUUGGCUGCGCCUGCGUUUCUGAAUGCAUUUCAUUCUUCCGCAUGCUAUCGAUGCAAGAAGCAACAGCAGAUCGGUGCCAAGAAAAGUUUUCUGUUUGUUUUACGUGACAAUUUGCACGUGGUCAAAUAAAUACAAUCGGCAAACAUCCGAAGCUGGGAUAAUAUUUAAAGUGCGAUAUUACGGAUACCAGAACGCUGAAGACCGGUUAUACCCGACAGCAGUCGAAUUUAAUAAAAUUUCGACUCAUUACCGGGAUUUUGGCAGUUCACGUGUUUCGAGUGUUGGGUGGACCUGCAAGCACACCACAUCCAAUCAUUGCACCACACCACAAUACACCAUUGACCACGGAACUGGCCACCCAAGCCCCUUCGUCUAUUCUUAUACCUCAUUAUUUUGUUGAAAAAUAAAAUCAAGCCGACUUCAGCAGAGAAGCGUUGCCAGCGCCUAUUCAGGGCUGCUCAACGCCUCUCAAUACAACAACAAUAAGAAGAACAACUACAACAACACAGGAACAACAACCCCGGUGUCUUGAAGUCACCGCAUAGCAGGCAUAGAUGAGCGCUUUGUAUCCAUUUUGCACCUUUGACUCUAAUUAUCACCGCCUACAGAUCGUCUACGUCGACAGGCCUGCUGACAUCGAUGGAUCGCUAAGGAUGAUAUGGUAGUAAGUACGGCGUAGCCGGACGUGAUGGCAUCAGAGAUGCAAUAGUGGUAACUAAAGCGCCCAUAGAAUUUUGUUGGUAUUGUAUUGAUAUUCCUAAUAGUAUAAAAUUAAUAAGAGUAUAAUAGUAUCAGAGCCACAAUUUAUAAUGAA